UUUGUACUACAUAAUUGUUGCGAAAUAUUCCUUAAUCCUUGGCAAUGAAACAAAACAAAUAUUUGUACACAAGUAAGACAAAAGGUAAAAACGCGAAACAACUAUUUACAUAUUUGUGAACAUUUCUAACAUCCAAAAUGAGAGUUGUAGCAGUCUGUUUGUUCACCAUUUUAUUCUUUGAUGGUGUUUUAAGCCAGAUUGGAUGCAAGUCCUCAGGGAUAAGAUGUUCAGACCCUUACACGUUUCAGUUUUGCGCCAAUUUUACAAAUAAGAUUCUAACAUACGGUACUGCUACAAAAUGCCCAUCUAGUACCAUUUGCGAUAACGAGGGAUUUUUCCCGUGCAAAGUUGGUACCAUUCCCACGACCACCCCUCAACCAACGACAGUGCCUGCCUGUAACGGACCUGCAAAAUUUCUUACGUCUGUGUGUAAUCAGUACCUUGAAUGUGUAUUUAGUUUUCUAUUUUGGACACCUAUUACCAACACGUGUCCCGCGGGGCAGAACUUUGAUCCAGUUCUUAAAGAGUGCAGUGAGAAGUAUAGUUGUGGGCCAGAUGCCAUUACAGCGGAACCACCAGUAGCGAUUUUUGGGGGAUGCAUGUUGUUGAAAUUGGUCGAAAAAUGAUGUGGUCAGGUGCGGCAGCUGAUUUAAUUAUUGACAGCUGUGAAAGUUCAUCUUAUUUUUGGUCGUUUUCGGAGGUCGAGAUGAGAUGGAAAAUGGCUGACAAAAUUGCAUUUUCAUGGAUCUAAAAAAUUUUUGGUUAUAUGGUUAAAAAUUAUCUAGUUUGUUGGUCGUAAAAUGCAUUCAACAGUGAUUUUUGCUCUUUCUUUACUUCUACGUGUUGCAACUACGUGAACAAUCAUCUAUAUUUACUGUUUAUCAUGUAAGUAGAGUACAGUUUGAAUUUAUACUUAAUUGAAAGCUGAAAAAGCUUUCCUAAAUGUAUUUUAGUUUUGACCACAAAAAAAUGAAUUUGUCAAAACCAAAGUAAAUUAUUCUAAGAAUAAAUGUUUUCUCACUUUCUACCUGUCGACCCGUUAAUCCUACAAUGUUAAGCUGGGUUCGGAAAAUUUGUCCACAGCUGAGAAAACAAUAAAGAAAACAGUGAACAAGACGUUUUUUAAAAUAGCAGUACUUUGGUUCCUGAAAACUGUAAUUUGUUAACAAUUUGACAAACUCAUGUUCUUUGGAGGAAAAAGUUAACACAAAAACACUGACUACGUUAGAAGCUUUGCCGUAAGAUCGCACUUCAUCAUUCCUAUUACUUCUACAGCAGCUUCGGUCUUAACAUAAGUAGUUCUAUGUUAAUUCUGGUCAUCGAAUAUUUCCUUGCAGAAGUCGUUGCUAAAAAUUCUUUGGGAAUUUUUCAACAAGAAAUCAACAAAAUACUAAACAAUUUUUAUUGUGCAUUAGUGAUGCUGUGCACUCCAAAGAGGCUGGAUAGAAGCACUAGUUUAUUUAUCCUAAAUAUUUAAAAUUUUAAGUUGUAUUAAAAUCUACUAUGAGUUUGUUUAAAUAAACUUUAGGCAAAAGUUAUAUAAGGGCAAUAUAAAGGUUAGAUCACUAAGUAUAUACGAAAUAUAACCACGCGUAGAUAAAGGUUAGAUAAAGACACAUAUCCGCAAUAUAACCGAGAUAUAAGAGGAGUUAUAUAACCGCAACAUAACCUCGCGUGGAUGACGGUUAGAUAAAGUGGUUAACUAACAGUUAGCUUAUAAAAGCGUCACAUUUGGGAAUUGGCGGUUAUAUUGGAAGGUUUCAUCUCGGUUAUAUAAGUGUGCUACUAGGGGAUUGAGUUGUUAAUUUUUUUGAUUGUCAUUUCGAUUGUGUUGGUUUUUAAGUUGUAUGAAAAAAUACGGACAAAAUGAUACAAAAUCACUGUUGAGAGCCCUCUACUCAUUCAAAAGGGCCAAAGGAGCAUUUCUAUAAAAUUUGUGAAAGGGGGUGAGCGAUUUUUUUCAUUUUUCAAAUGAUUCAAUUGUGGCAGGGAGAGCGCCUCUACAGGGUUAUUCAUAUUUGUGAGACAAAAAAUGAAUCUCAAAAAGGACCUAUAAAAUGAUGCUAAUUGAGAUUAUAAGUCGUGUCCUAUCGAAACUGAUAAGAAUUUUACAGCCCUGGAAAGUAGGGGUAUAGAAAGACAUUUUUGCACCAUAACUUUGGAAUCAUUUGACCAAACAUUACGAAACUUGGUAGACUUACUAAAGAGAACAUUCCUUUUAAUCUGGUAAUUAUGAAAACCGGAUACAUCCACCCAGUUUCCGGUUGCAGCAUUUCCGGAUCACAUUUUUUGUGUUUUUUUAUGUUUUUGCCCUCUUAACACUACUUUUUUAUUACUUAAAUCGAUAAAGUAAUCAAUUUCGAAUAAAAAAGUUAUAACCUUCUACACCGUUAAAAUGGACCGUUUAAUAGUUAUUUUAAUUUCAAUAUAGGCUUGCACCUGACCAAAAUCAAAAAGUAUGAAUUUUGAGCAGAUAAUAUCUGUAGCAACGAAAGUGCAUCUGCACUCAAAGCGCUGUCAAGUACUGUCACACACUUGUCAACUUUAACUUUGGAUAAUUUGAGUGUUAUACUCAAAAGUAAAAGUUUUUGGAAAUUGCAGAUUCUGAAAGUAGACACAAAAUGAUGUCUAGUACAAUCGGUCCGAGUUAUUUUAAAUCGGUACUUUUUUAGUAAUAAUAGAAAAUUUGCCCUGUGACGUAAGCAAUGUCUCGACUAAUGAUUCGUCAGUUUUUCGCUGUAUACAAUUAACGCUACGACCUACGUUUAGGCUGAUAAACGUCAAAUACAAACGUCAAAACCGUGCGUUGUCGAUUGUGACUGUGUUGUGUGCUAAUAUUUUGCAGGAGUUUGUGUUUUGGUAAAAUGACGGCUCCUGAGGCACAUCUGAAGUCGUAUGUAAAACAACAGAGGCAGAAAUAAAGAAAAGACGUAUGCCUUUUAAGCUAUUCGCUGUGAUGGCUGGCGACGCUACACAACAAGCCAAUGUGCUCUGUAAGAAAUGUGGCUCAAAAGUGGUGAAUUUUGUAAAGUGCAAGCUUUUUCAACACCAGUUUCAUCCGAGUUGUGCUAAGAUUUUGAAUGCAACUUUCCACGACAACAAAUCUAUCACGUGUUGUGACGAGAUAAUUUGGGAAAAUGUAAGUCCGCAACUUUUCUCGUAUAUUAUUAAAGAAAAGGACGCCUUAAUCGAAGAAUUAAGAGAUAAAAUUGCAUUAUUGCAAAUUUGCAUUCAAGAAAAAAAUAAAUCGUUAUCUCCAAAGAAACAUUCUCCGAUAAUCGCCGGGCAGUCGCCGCCAGCGCAUACAGUCGUUGAUAACAAAUCGGCAGGUAGAAAUAAAAACGAAAUCAAAAAUAAAGAUAAACUAAACAAAGUCGUAUUCGAAAAGGACCAGCUACAAGCCCAAAGUAAUACGACUGCUACAAAAAUAUUUGAGAACAAUAAGAAAAGCAUGCCUCGACGUGAAACUCCGAAAAAUGAAGACCCUAUCAUUGAAGAAACAAAAAAUGCUUGGAAAACUAUAACUCACAAGAAAUUAGACAGAAAGCAACAAAGGAAUGCUGUUAUAGGGACACACGCUUGUGACAAAAUAAAAACAGCACCCAAAAAGGCUUUUCUCUAUGUUUCAAGACUCGAUCCAGAAACCAAAAGUGAAGACUGAAGCUUACUUCAGAAUACUUUUCCAGAAGUAACAUGUAUGAAGUUGGACUCCAAAUAUCCAGAGUACUACUCAUCCUACAAGGUGACAAUUAACCUAAACAAUCUAGAACAUGCAAUGAAAUCAGAAAUUUGGUCUGAAGGAUCAUAUGUAACGCGGUAUUUUCAUCCACGUCGGUCGAAGACCAGCAGUCAAUAACACCCGACUCUUUGCAGCAAUGCAAAGGGUCGCUUAAAAUAUUGCAUUUAAAUAUUCAGUGCUUGUCAAAUAAAUUAAAUGAAAUUCUUUUAUUCUUGGAAAACCAUAGAGAUUAUGAUGUUUUAGGUUUUAGCGAACAUUGGUUAAGUAAAUAUGAAAUACAGUCAAUCAACUUGCUUAAUUUCAAAUUAGCGACUUGUUUCUGCAGGCGCAUAUUACGUCAUGGAGGAACUGUUCUUUUCGUAAGGGAUGGUAUAAAAUUCAAACAUUUGGAUCUUUCUUGCUUCUCCCAAGAGUGUGAUGCAGAGUUUAGUGGGAUCUAUCUAAAUGAGUAAUACCACCUAAAUGUAACGGUGGUGGAAAAUUGCCAGGACCAACUCCAAACCAGUACUACGAGUGUGAAUUCAUUUGGUUCCAGUUCCAACCAACACUAAAAUCGUGUUUUGAAGGACAAAUGUUUGAUGUUAAUGUUAGUUUAUGCGUCCAGAUGCCAGAAACAGAGUCUGUGUCGACUGGAUAAAGCAUAAAGUGAGUUAAGCUGAAUUUCGCCAAUUCUUUGUUCAAGUUAUUUAUUAAUAAAGAAUUAUGAUUAAAAAUUG